CGGUUUUCAACAUAGUUAAGUACUUUGACUUAUCAAAAUUAUUUGUUUUCCUUAAACGUGCAACUUAUAUGCUUUUAAUACUUAUUAUCCUAACUAGUGAAUAAACCUAAGUUUGACCAGUUAUCUAAUUAACGGAUCAUAUAGGGUGUUUUAAUAACCUUUCCUAUAGGAUAAAUUAGAACCCUUACCCAUAAUUUUAAGGUUAAAUAGACUAUAUAAACUGAGUUAACUUUAGCGUUAUUUAGAUAAAAGGUGGUGUUCUAAUUCACCUUAAAAUAAUUAGGUGACCACUCUCUUAAAAUUAAUUAAAUAUCGUCCUUUCUAAUAUGUUAUACUCUAAUCGACCUGGUUAAAAUGGGGUAUAACACAUGCCAUAAUUGCAGAUUUCCAGCCAUCGACCCUAAGCUUCUUCUUCUUCAUGGAGUCAAAACAAGCGAAGAACAGAGCUCCCAUCUGUUCCUGUUUCUUCAUCUCGUAACCAGCAGAUUUUUUCUUCUUCAUCGUACUCAACUCAACUCGCCGGAACACGCACACACGCAGUCACGUACCAAAACAAAAAUGGGACAGAAAUUAAAAGAGGUCCAUGGUUCUUAGAAUCUUUGAAAAAUCGGAAAACUAAAACAAAACAAAAAAAGAUAUAUGUUCUUCAUUUUUUUUUCAUCUCGAUGUUGAUUUUCUAAAAACCCAUGGAUUCUGUCUGAGCCGAGUUAGAGUCGAGUUUGCGUUCGAGAUUCCGUCCGCGUUGAUUUCUGGAUGCAGUGAUUCGUUCUGUUCAACUACAAUAAUUUGCUGGAGUUAUAUUAAUUAAAAGUCAUUUUUUCCAGGUCCAAGUCAUUUGGAAAUUGCCCUGCCGGAUCCGGGUGGGACAAUUGUACUAGCAUAUCCUUAGUUUGGAAGCACGCGAGGAGCUAUAUACGGUCAAAUUGGAGGGUCCAAUUUCUUGUCAUUAUGGUGUUUGGGAAGUCAUAUCGAGAUCUCGAGGCUGCGAGGUUGGACCCGAUGAGGGUUGCCUACGUAUCUCACAUCCGGUGAGAAUCAAACCCGCGUAGUUCGGGCAAAUGAACUACUUUAAAAGAAGAAAGGAAGCAUUUUUGAUUGACUUUCUUUUUACAAGAAACACUUCUAAGAUAUAUUUUGGAAUUUUCAUUUGCACUUNNNNNNN
rnacentral:lncRNA from 1 species